GACGAACGCUGGCGGCGUGCUUAACACAUGCAAGUCGAACGGAAAGGCCCCUUUGGGGGUACUCGAGUGGCGAACGGGUGAGUAACACGUGAGUAACCUGCCCUUGACUUCGGGAUAACUUCAGGAAACUGGGUCUAAUACCGGAUAGGAAUCCUUGCUGCAUGGUGGGGGUUGGAAAGCUUCGGCGGUUUUGGAUGGGCUCGCGGCUUAUCAGCUUGUUGGUGGGGUAGUGGCUUACCAAGGCUUUGACGGGUAGCCGGCCUGAGAGGGCGACCGGCCACAUUGGGACUGAGAUACGGCCCAGACUCCUACGGGAGGCAGCAGUGGGGAAUAUUGCACAAUGGGCGGAAGCCUGAUGCAGCAACGCCGCGUGCGGGAUGACGGCCUUCGGGUUGUAAACCGCUUUCAGCAGGGGCGAAGCUUGUGGUGACGGUACCUGCAGAAGAAGCACCGGCUAACUACGUG
rnacentral:rRNA from 1 species